ACGAACGCUGGCGGCGUGCUUAACACAUGCAAGUCGAACGGUGAAGCGCCUUCCUUUUUGGUGGGUGUGGAUGAGUGGCGAACGGGUGAGUAACACGUGAGUAAUCUGCCCCCUUCUUCUGGAUAACCGCAUGAAAGUGUGGCUAAUACGGGAUAUUCUGGGUCUGUCGCAUGAUGGGUCUGGGAAAGAUAUUGUUUCGGUGGGGGAUGGGCUCGCGGCCUAUCAGCUUGUUGGUGGGGUGAUGGCCUACCAAGGCGGUGACGGGUAGCCGGCCUGAGAGGGUGGACGGUCACACUGGGACUGAGACACGGCCCAGACUCCUACGGGAGGCAGCAGUGGGGAAUAUUGCACAAUGGGCGCAAGCCUGAUGCAGCGACGCCGCGUGAGGGAUGGAGGCCUUCGGGUUGUGAACCUCUUUCGCCAGUGAAGCAGGCCUGCCUCGUUUGUGGGUGGGUUGACGGUAGCUGGAUAAGAAGCGCCGGCUAACUACGUG
rnacentral:rRNA from 1 species